rnacentral:rRNA from 1 species
UAGGGAAUCUUCCACAAUGGACGAAAGUCUGAUGGAGCAACGCCGCGUGAGUGAAGAAGGUUUUCGGAUCGUAAAACUCUGUUGUGAGGGAAGAACAAGUACGAGAGUAACUGCUCGUACCUUGACGGUACCUCAUUAGAAAGCCACGGCUAACUACGUGCCAGCAGCCGCGGUAAUACGUAGGUGGCAAGCGUUGUCCGGAAUUAUUGGGCGUAAAGCGCGCGCAGGCGGUCCUUUAAGUCUGAUGUGAAAGCCCACGGCUCAACCGUGGAAGGUCAUUGGAAACUGGGGGACUUGAGUGCAGAAGAGGAAAGUGGAAUUCCAAGUGUAGCGGUGAAAUGCGUAGAGAUUUGGAGGAACACCAGUGGCGAAGGCGACUUUCUGGUCUGUAACUGACGCUGAGGCGCGAAAGCGUGGGGAGCAAACA